AGUUGGAUAAGCUAAAUAAAGCUGUUGGGCUCAUACCCCAAAAAUGAGAUAUUCUCUCCAACUA
rnacentral:tRNA from 1 species